UAUAUAAAUUUGCUGAAUCCUCAAUUUUGAGGUACGGAGGAACCAUGAACAGGGGGUUAAUCCAUAUAUUUGGUAGGGUUGUCCUAUUACCCGAACCCGGCAGCUAACUUCGGAAGCACAUAUAGGAGGACUA
rnacentral:sRNA from 2 species